rnacentral:rRNA from 1 species
GACGAACGCUGGCGGCGUGCUUAACACAUGCAAGUCGAACGGAAAGGCCCUGCUUUUGUGGGGUGCUCGAGUUGCGAACGGGUGAGUAACACGUGAGUAACCUGCCCUUGACUUUGGGAUAACUUCAGGAAACUUGGGCUAAUACCGGAUAGGAGCUCCUGCUGCAUGGUGGGGGUUGGAAAGUUUCGGCGGUUGGGGAUGGACUCGCGGCUUAUCAGCUUGUUGGUGGGGUAGUGGCUUACCAAGGCUUUGACGGGUAGCCGGCCUGAGAGGGUGACCGGCCACAUUGGGACUGAGAUACGGCCCAGACUCCUACGGGAGGGAGCAGUGGGGAAUAUUGCACAAGGGGCGGAAGCCUAAUGCAGCAACGCCGCGUGCGGGAUGACGGCCUUCGGGUUGUAAACCGAUUUCGCCUGUGACGAAGCGUGAGUGACGGUAAUGGGUAAAGAAGCACCGGCUAACUACGUG